rnacentral:rRNA from 1 species
GAUGAACGCUGGCGGCGUGCCUAAUACAUGCAAGUCGAACGCAUUGUGGUUGAAAUGAUAUGAAGAACUUGUUCAGAUUUGAUUUUCAACAUUGCAAUGAGUGGCGAACGGGUGAGUAACACGUGGGAAACCUACCUCUUAGCAGGGGAUAACAUUUGGAACCAAAUGCUAAUACCGUAUAAUAAUUAAAACCGCAUGGUUUUAGUUUAAAAGAUGGUCUUGCUAUCACUAAGAGAUGGUCCCGCGGUGUAUUAGUUAGUUGGUGAGGUAAUGGCUCACCAAGACAAUGAUACAUAGCCGAGUUGAGAGACUGACCGGCCACAAUGGGACUGAGACACGGCCCAUACUCCUACGGGAGGCAGCAGUAGGGAAUCUUCCACAAUGGACGAAAGUCUGAUGGAGCAACGCCGCGUGU